rnacentral:rRNA from 1 species
GACGAACGCUGGCGGCGUGCCUAAUACAUGCAAGUUGAGCGCUGAAGGUUGGUACUUGUACCAACUGGAUGAGCAGCGAACGGGUGAGUAACGCGUGGGGAAUCUGCCUUUGAGCGGGGGACAACAUUUGGAAACGAAUGCUAAUACCGCAUAAAAACUUUAAACACAAGUUUUAAGUUUGAAAGAUGCAAUUGCAUCACUCAAAGAUGAUCCCGCGUUGUAUUAGCUAGUUGGUGAGGUAAAGGCUCACCAAGGCGAUGAUACAUAGCCGACCUGAGAGGGUGAUCGGCCACAUUGGGACUGAGACACGGCCCAAACUCCUGCGGGAGGCAGCAGUAGGGAAUCUUCGGGAAUGGACGAAAGGCUGACCGAGCAACGCCGCGGGAGUGAAGAGGGUUUUCGGAUCGUAAAACUCUGUUGGUAGAGAAGAACGUUGGUGAGAGUGGAAAGCUCAUAAAGUGACGGUAACUACCCAGAAAGGGACGGCUAACUACGUG